rnacentral:rRNA from 1 species
UACAGAGGGUGCGAGCGUUAAUCGGAAUUACUGGGCGUAAAGCGCACGUAGUCGGCUUUGCAAGUCGGUUGUGAAAUCCCCGGGCUCAACCUGGGAACUGCAUCCGAGACUGCAUUGCUAGAGUAUGGGAGAGGAAAGCGGAAUUUCUGGUGUAGCAGUGAAAUGCGUAGAUAUCAGAAGGAACAUCAGUGGCGAAGGCGGCUUUCUGGACCAAUACUGACGCUGAGGAGCGAAAGCCAGGGGAGCAAACGGG